rnacentral:rRNA from 1 species
AUGGUGAAGACAGUCAGGAAAAUGAUGGUAAGCGCAAAAGAGAAAAGUCGAAAUAUUGCCAAUCCCCCUACGACAUUCUCGUUACCCGCAAGAAACGUGUUAAAAAAAAUCAUCAAUGCAUAUUGUAAACACCUACAACACCGUGAUUUUUCUGAUCGUUACAUAUCAACAACGUGGUUCCCCAAAUUUAUGUUGAGUAGGGCAAGGGGAAAGACCAAGCCAGUAAAUGAUUUAGACUCAGAACAUGUUACAAAGAAAACAAAAGUCAUCGCAAGAGUAAUGGAUGAGUAUUUUAGACGGGACAAGGCAUAUUUUCCUAUGCACGUUAAUGAUAAUCAUUGGAUAACCAUAGUGAUGCACACCACCAAAGAGGAGUUUCAAGUUCUUGACUCAAAUUCUAAAGGCGCAUUAGCGAAAGAAUUCGCAAUAUGA